rnacentral:rRNA from 1 species
UACGUAGGGUGCGAGCGUUAAUCGGAAUUACUGGGCGUAAAGCGUGCGCAGGCGGUGAUGUAAGACCGUUGUGAAAUCCCCGGGCUCAACCUGGGAACUGCAUCUGUGACUGCAUCGCUGGAGUGCGGCAGAGGGGGAUGGAAUUCCGCGUGUAGCAGUGAAAUGCAUAGAUAUGACCCGGAACACCGAUUGCGAAGGCAGCCCACUAAGCAAUGAUUGACGCUGAGGCACGAAAGCGUGGGGAUCAAACAGG